rnacentral:rRNA from 1 species
CCUACGGGUGGCAGCAGUGGGGAAUAUUGGGCAAUGGACGCAAGUCUGACCCAGCAACGUCGCGUGAAGGAAGAAGGCUCUCGGGGUGUAAACUUCUUUUAAGGGGGAAGAACAGAAGACGGUACCCAGCGAAUAAGCCACGACUAAAUACGUGCCAGCAGCCGAGGUAAUACGUAGGUGGCAAGCGUUGUCCGGAUUUACUGGGGGUAAAGGGCGGGCAGGCGGAGAGACAAGUCAGAUGUGAAAUCCACGGGCUUAACCCGUGAACUGCAGUUGAAACUGGCUCCCUUGAGUGUAGGAGAGGUAAUCGGAAUUCCUGGUGUAGCGGUGAAAUGCGUAGAUAUUAGGAAGAACCCCAGUUGCGAAGGCGGAUUACUGGCCGCUAACUGACGGUGAGGCGCGAAAGCGUGGGGAGCAAACAGGAUUAGAUACCCCUGUAGUC